CAGUGGACUCAUCAGUAAUGGUGCGUUCAUACCGAGAGGUAUGAAAUGAACGGGAUGAAUUCAGGGAACCCUUAGCAACUCAGUUGAUGGGAACCCUGAGCCAAGCCGGAGGUACACCUCCGGAAGGUGCAGAGACUACCUGGGAACUUGAGUGUUCUUAAUCACAGGCUGGAGCGUCCCGCUCCCCAGCGACUCCGGUUGCGGGAGAUGAGAUAGUCCACUCCUGCCAGAAAUGGCAGG
rnacentral:ncRNA from 1 species